rnacentral:sRNA from 1 species
ACUCCGGGCUGCACGGGGCGCGGGCAUGUCAACAGCAACAGGAACUCCCACCGAAGCCUCUCCGGAUGCCCGAUCGCUGCAGCAGAGAAACUGGCCAAGGCACAGGAAAAGCACCAGAGCUGCGACGUGUCCAAGUCCAGCCAGGCCUCAGACCGCGUGCUCAGGCCAAUGUGCUUUGUGAAGCAGCUGGAGAUUCCUCAGUAUGGCUACAGAAACAAUGUCCCCACAACUACACCGCGUUCCAACCUGGCCAAGGAGCUCGAGAAAUAUUCCAAGACCUCGUUUGAAUACAACAGUUACGACAACCAUACUUAUGGCAAGCGAGCCAUAGCUCCCAAGGUGCAAACCAGGGAUAUAUCCCCCAAAGGAUAUGAUGAUGGUAGGAGGUGCACACUCUUAUACAUGAGAGACACGUUGCCAUUGAUGAUGUUGUUGUUGUGUAUAUCAAUGUCCUACAAAUUAGUUGAGUGGUGGUGGUCACUCGAUGGGUACCAAAAGAACGGGACGUUCGUAGCACAGCCCAGGAGCUGAAAACCCCUCAGGUCCACACAGCUGUAGGAGAGCAAAACUUCAGGGGAAGGAAGGAGAUGGUUUCCCCUCAAUAAUUCUGAGACAGCGCACUUGGCUGCUCGUGGAAUGUGGAGAGGGAGAAGCUAUGGACUGUCUCAUUGGGAAGACAGUGCCCUUAUCUUAUACACUUCCUUUGAAUAAAUGCCUCU